AGUGAACGCUGGCGGUAGGCCUAACACAUGCAAGUCGAACGGCAGCACAGUAAGAGCUUGCUCUUACGGGUGGCGAGUGGCGGACGGGUGAGGAAUACAUCGGAAUCUACUUUUUCGUGGGGGAUAACGUAGGGAAACUUACGCUAAUACCGCAUACGACCUACGGGUGAAAGCAGGGGAUCUUCGGACCUUGCGCGAUUCAAUUAGCCGAUGUCGGAUUAGCUAGUUGGCGGGGUAAAGGCCCACCAAGGCGACGAUCCGUAGCUGGUCUGAGAGGAUGAUCAGCCACACUGGAACUGAGACACGGUCCAGACUCCUACGGGAGGCAGCAGUGGGGAAUCUUGGACAAUGGGCGCAAGCCUGACCCAGCCAUACCGCGUGGGUGAAGAAGGCCUUCGGGUUGUAAAGCCCUUUUGUUGGGAAAGAAAAGCAGCAGGUUAAUACCCCGCUGUUCUGACGGUACCCAAAGAAUAAGCACCGGCUAACUUCGUG
rnacentral:rRNA from 1 species